UACGUAGGGGGCGAGCGUUGUCCGGAAUUACUGGGCGUAAAGGGCGUGUAGGCGGCCGAUCAAGUCAGGUGUGAAAAAUCAGGGCUUAACCCUGAUCGUGCACUUGAAACUGGUUGGCUUGAGUGCAGGAGAGGAAAGUGGAAUUCCCAGUGUAGCGGUGAAAUGCGUAGAUAUUAGGAGGAACACCGGUGGCGAAGGCGGCUUACUGGACUGUAACUGACGCUGAGUCACGAAAGCGUGGGUAGCAAACAGG
rnacentral:rRNA from 1 species